rnacentral:tRNA from 2 species
GGGCCGUUAGCUCAGUUGGUAGAGCAGCUGACUCUUAAUCAGUAGGUCGAAGGUUCGAAUCCUUCACGGCCCACCA